UUGGUGCUGUAACCUGUGAGGUUUGAUCGGUGCAUUUGUGUGUAUCCUCAGGGGGAUGUUGGGUUGAAAGGUGAUAAGGGUGAAGUUGGUGUAGGCGGAGCAAAGGGUGUGGCAGGCGUACCAGGAAAAAAUGGAGUUCACGGACAAAAGGGUACAAUGGGCAGAAUUGGAGCUCCUGGCUGCAAAGGUGAUCCAGGCAAUGAGGGACCAGAGGGCUACCAAGGAGAAGCUGGUGAGACCGGUCCUCAAGGAUCCAAUGG
rnacentral:lncRNA from 1 species